ACCCUGACACCUAACCCCAGGGAAGAGCA
rnacentral:tRNA from 1 species